rnacentral:rRNA from 1 species
UACGUAGGGUGCAAGCGUUGUCCGGAAUUAUUGGGCGUAAAGAGCUCGUAGGCGGUUUGUCGCGUCUGCUGUGAAAACUCGGGGCUUAACCCCGGGCCUGCAGUGGGUACGGGCAGACUAGAGUGCGGUAGGGGAGACUGGAAUUCCUGGUGUAGCGGUGAAAUGCGCAGAUAUCAGGAGGAACACCGGUGGCGAAGGCGGGUCUCUGGGCCGUAACUGACACUGAGGAGCGAAAGCAUGGGGAGCGAACAGG